AACGCACAUUGCGCCCCCUGGUAUUCCGGGGGGCAUGCCUGUUCGAGCGUCAUUACACCACUCAAGCUAUGCUUGGUAUUAGGCUCUCGCCCCUGUCAAAGGGGGCGUGCCUCAAACACCUCGGCGAAGUCUCAUCGGCUUUGGGCGCAGUAGAAUUUACUCAAAACGCUCGUGGAGUCUGGUGGAACUUUUGCCGCAAAACCGCGUCGAAAGACACAUUUUUAAAGGUUGACCUCGGAUCAGGUAGGGAUACCCGCUGAACUUAA
rnacentral:misc_RNA from 1 species